rnacentral:misc_RNA from 1 species
AGAAUAUUUACAAUCUAAAAACUGAAACUUAGCAAUGGCUGAUGCCUGUAAUGUCAUCCUCAAGUUCUUUCCAGCAUUACAACUGAGAUUAUAUAUGGUAUGAACCUCGUGAAAAUAGUAACGCAAUGGCUGUCUUACGAACUUAAGUGUCCAGUGUAACUCCUGUCUUUUCCAUUGUGUGCCCUGUCAUUCUCUUUAUAUCGUUUUGACUUCUUCGCAGAGUCCAUCCUAUCACUGUUCCCCCUCCUUUUUCGAUUGAUUGAUCGGCUACUUCCCCUUGUUGUACCACCACUAUAGUCCCCAUCAUCAUUUAACUCAGAUUCCACAUUGUGAUCUUCAGAAUCAUCAAUUACAGACUUCUUACUACUUUUAGAGUGUGUUCCAGUAGCACCUUCAUCAGGUUCCCAGCGGCCUCUUUCCCCAAUGUCUUCAUUAUGGUGAUAAGGGUGAUCCCUAUCUGAAUGGACCCUCUUGUCAGAACUUGGCUUUCUUUUAUCUGUGAUAGCAGCAGUCCAAUCUCCAGUGGUAUUAUUAUCAUGGCUUCCGCUAUUCUUAUCCCAGCGAUCAGGUGAUGAUGGAACACCGUUAUGGCGCCUAGAACUGCUUCUUCUUUUCUUGUGACGCGAACUUCUGUCUCUUUUCUCAUCCAACCACUCACUGCUGGAAUCUGUAUUACGAUCUUCCUUGCUAUGUCUUGAGCCCUUCUCACUGUUACCAGAUCCUGCAUCUCCGUAUCUCUUCUUUUCCAGCAAAUCAUCACCAGAGUCGGAACCACUAACUCGUUUUUUGAUGUGAUCAUUACGAUGUUGAAGCCCCAUUUUUUCAUUAUGGUGGUUUCUUGAUUUUCUUCCUGUGCUAUGGUGGCGCUUCACUCCCUCUUUCUCUCUGUCAGAUAAAUCCCAAUCAGAGU